GCUUAUCACCAUUCCAGAUUGAAUAUACCCGAUCUCGUUUGAUCUCGGAAGUCAAGCAAUCUCUGGCUUGGUUAGUACUUGGAUGGGUGACCGCUUGGGAAUACCAAGUGUGAUAAGCA
rfam:Ciona savignyi cont_33184, whole genome shotgun sequence.